GGCGGCGUUGCCAAGUGGUAAGGCGUCAGUCUGCAAAACUGACAUGCAGCGGUUCGAUUCCGCUCGCCGCCU
rnacentral:tRNA from 4 species